CCUACGGGAGGCAGCAGUGAGGAAUAUUGGUCAAUGGGAGAGAUCCUGAACCAGCCAAGCCGCGUGCGGGAAGACGGCCCUAUGGGUUGUAACCCUCUUUUGUCGGAGAACAAAACCCGGGACGUGUCCAGUACUGCGUGUACCCGAAGAGUAAGCAUCGGCUAACUCCGUGCCAGGCGCCGCGGUAUAACGGGGGAUGCGAGCGUUAUCCGGAUUUAUUGGGGUUAAAGGGUGCGUAGGCGGUCCGUUAAGUCAGAGGUAAAAUUGCGGGGCUAAACCCCGUCGAGCCGUGGAUACUGGCAGACUUGAGUGGGCGAGAAGUACGCGGAAUGCGCGGUGUAGCGGUGAAAUGCAUAGAUAUCGCGAAGAACUCCGAUGGCGAAGGCAGCGUACCGGCGCCAGACUGACGCUGAGGCACGAAAGCGUGGGGAGCGAACAGGAUUAGAUACCCUUGUAGUC
rnacentral:rRNA from 1 species